GAGGGCAUGGAUACACAUUAGGGGGUCGCUGGGGCCAUCUUAGAGGCUGCCUGUCAUACCUGAUGUUACAUCUGGCCCCUUUUGGCUUUGACCACAUUCCUAGGCCCUCACCCCAAUAACCAUUGUAUUCCCCUCUGUUCAGAUACAGAUAAAGCUAACUUCAUCUGGGCUUCACCAUUCUUCUCCAUCCUGAAGAAAACAGACAUCUGGUCCCAAGUCCACAAGGAAGACACUGAACUGCAAAAACAAGUGUAUCACAAACCAGACCCAAAGAGCUCUUUACAAUAUCUUCUACAACCACAAACAGUGCAAAAGGAAGAGCUGAUAACUGUGCAACCCAUUGGCCUUUCUGCCAGGGAGUUUGUGGUUUACCAGUACAGCCUCUCCAUCCUGCACCUCCUCAUCCCCCAGCUUCAUGCUCCAGAAAUCACCCUGAAGAUUGCUUCUCAUCUUCCUGCCAUGGAAGCCCAAGGCAGUGCCUUCCAAGAUGCCUUCUUCUAUCAGGUGCUGCAAAUUCAUUCCCAGAUGUGGGUUAUAAAAUUCUGGAGUCCAGUAAAGAUAAACAAAA